rnacentral:tRNA from 1 species
GUCCUCUUCGUCUAGAGGCCUAGGACAUCGCCCUUUCACGGCGGUAACAGGGGUUCGAAUCCCCUAGGGGACGCCA